AUGCCGCACCUCCUCACGAGGUGCGUAUUUUCUCGUUUGCCGGUUCAGUGGUUGUGGGCUUGUGGCGAUGGGGGUGCGCGCGCACCUCCUCGUCCUCCUUUGCAUCCUCGUCGCCAGCACAAGCACCGCUCAGCUUUUGCCGCCACCACCGGCGCUGCCGCCGCACGGCCCGGCACGGCAGAUGAAGCCACCGCCGUUCGGCGUUCUCUUCAUCCUGCUCUUCUUCUGCGCGUACAUCACCCAGUGCCGCCUCGUCGAAGACCACGACGAGCCGCAGGGGGCGGUGUGUCGAGGCGGGGGAAGCACGGGCUGGACCUGGCGGUGGUGGCGACGUUCCCGAUCGUGCCGUACAGGGAGAUCAAGGAGCACAAGAUCGGCAGCGGCGCGCUGGAGUGCGCCGUGUGCCUGACGGAGUUCGAGGACGACGACGACAUGCGGCUGCUGCCGCACUGCUCGCACGCGUUCCACCCGGAGUGCAUCGACCCGUGGCUCGAGUCGCGGACCACGUGCCCUCUGUGCCGCGCCAACCUCGAGAAGCCACCGCCACCGUUGACGCCGGAGGAGGGUGCGCAGUGGGAGAAAGAGGAGGCAGCUUCCGUGGUGACGCCGGAGGAGCCAGCGGCGAGCGCGGUGGCAGGCGCUCCUGGCCAGGACGAUGCCGUGGGCGACGCGGAAGGUGCGGGACAGCUCCCCGAGGGAUGA
rnacentral:rRNA from 1 species